CUAAAUUCUAAACCCUCCCUCUCUGGAAACCAAAAGAAACCCUAGUUCUCCUCCAUUCCUCAUGGUUUUUAAAAAAUUAUCUAAAAAUUAAUUAUUAAAAUCGACAAAUCUGUUAGGUUUACAAUUCAAAAUUCACAGAUUAGUGCCCUAAUCCAUGUUUCGUGCGUAUGAUUUUUACAGUUUGCUCGGCGAAUCAAUGUUUCGGGGUGUUUCGAUCCAGAUCUGAAAAUGUAUGAUGGAAUUUGAAAAUUGGGUGUUUCGGGUAUUGGUGUUUGGACUGAGGUAUUGUUGAUGGAAAAUAGAAUAGGAAGUUCUCAUGAAGGGAAAAUUCCUAAGAAAUGGAGAUCUUUGGAUCUCAAGAGUCUUUACCAAUCCCAGGAUUCAAAAGAGUCUCAAACUAAGAACUUGAAGAGAAAGGGUGCCUUAGAUAUUACUGUUGUUGAGAAGAAACAUGAGAGGAAGAAGAGCAGAAAAGCAGUAUCCAUCAGUAGUUUUAGAAAAGUCAAUGGCAAUGGCAGUAAGAGUCUAGAGGAAGUGUAUAAUGGCAUUUUGAGCUUAGGAUCACAUGAUUCAAAGGACUCAAAGUCAGGGUUCAAUCAGCGGUUGAGUGAUUGUAGCAAGUUUAGUGGUAUUUCACAAACAUUAGAGGGUAAUUUUAUCAAAAUCCCUAGGCGUAAAAGAGGUUUUGUGGGGCGAAGAAAAGUUGAGAAUGUUCUUCAAGUGUCCAAGCCUGCAGGGCUGUCUAGUGGUGAAGUGGGCAAGGUUGAUCAGGUUGGUAAAUUAAUUAGUAAAGACACAUGCAAGCAGGUCAAGCCUUUGAAGGUUAAACAGAAGAAAGGUUAUGAUGAGUUUAAAGAAAACAUAAAUGGUGGAACCAAUUCAGAUAAGCAUUUAGAGGAAGAAGAUGAGCAUCAUGGUAAUUCAGUUGUAUACAGUGGGGAUUUAUCCGUGAAGAAAUCUCAUACUGGCCAUUCUGUUGAGAAUAAUGGUGAUUCAUCUUCAAAAAAGUCACUGAGGAAGCGAAGUAGGAAAAGGAAGGGUUUGGUGCCUGAUGUUAAGAGCGUUGCUAAGGAGGCUCAGCCAUCAGUCGAUGGUACUGUUAAGUUAAGUGAUGAUUUGUGUGACAAUGAUGAGGAGAACCUUGAAGAGAAUGCAGCAAGGAUGCUAUCAUCACAGUUUGACCCGAGUUGUACUGGCUUUUCUUUGAAUAGCAAAGUCUCUUCCCUGCCAUCUACAAAUGGUUUGUCUUUUUUAUUAUCGUCUGGACAGGAAUUCAAUGCCCAUGGGUCUAACUAUGUCUCAGGAUCUGAAUCUGCUUCUGUUGAUACUGCUGGUAGAGUGUUGAGACCAAGGAAACAGCACAAAGAGAAGGGUAACUCAAGAAAACGGCGCCAUUAUUAUGAAAUUUUCUCUGGGGACUUGGAUGCCUAUUGGGUGUUGAACCGGAGAAUUAAGGUUUUUUGGCCUUUGGACCAGAGUUGGUAUUAUGGCCUCAUCAGUGACUAUGAUAAAUUGAAAAAGCUCCAUCAUGUAAAAUAUGAUGAUCGGGAUGAGGAAUGGAUUAAUCUCCAAAAUGAGAGAUUUAAACUCUUGCUGCUUCCAAGUGAAGUUCCAGGUAAGCCUCAGAGAAGAAGAUCUGUGGCAAGAGAGAAGCGAUCUAAUGGGGAAAAGGGAAAAUUGAAGCAGAGUAAAGAGAAGAGGAGAGACUUGGCUGCAGAGGAUGAUAAUUAUAUGGGGAACUACGUGGACUCAGAGCCUAUCAUCUCAUGGUUGGCUCGUUCUUCUCAUAGAGUCAAAUAUUCCCCACUCCGUGCCUUGAAGAAACAGAAAAUUUCAGGUCUUUCUCUGACCUCAGUGCUGCCGACAUUGACUGAUGAUGGUGUCAGUAGACAUGAUUGUUUGGAUGGGCUUUCAUGGAACAAGGAUACAAGCAAUUUAUCUGGUAAUUCUGUCUUGCCAGACAGAUUUGCUGCUGGUGGAAUGAUUGAGGUAUCUCCCAUGGAAAGCCCCUUUAAUCCAAAAGAUAACAAGCUUCCAGUUGUUUACUAUAGGAGGCGAUUUCGCAAUACAAGCAGUGUGUCGCGUUAUUCAUUUGAAGGAAAUCUUGUUUCCACUAGUCUACCAGAAUCUGAUACUUCUCUUGGUGCUGUUGGUGUUGCUUCUCAACCUUUGGAAAAACAAGAUACUUCCCUCAACAGAUUGGAUCCUGAUAGGGCUUUGGAGAAGUUGGAUACUGUUGAGGUUUUAUGGUUGACUGAUGUUACAGGCCUUCUAAAAUUAAAUGUUCAGUUCUUGGAAUCAAGACGGUUCAGGUUUGAGUUAAGUUUUGCAGUGCUUUCUAUCUUCAACUACUCAUUUGGCAUGGUUCACACUCAGUUCUUUCAUGCGUUAUUGCUGCUUCAGCAUGGUACGCUGAUGACUAUGUGGCCAAGGGUUCAUCUGGAGAUGCUUUUUGUUGAUAAUAUAGUUGGAUUGAGAUUUCUCUUGUUUGAAGGUUGCUUGAAGCAAGCCAUAGGAUUUGUUUUUGAGGUCCUGGCUGUAUUUAAUCAACCUACUGAGUGCGGGAAAUUUGCUGACUUGCAGUUGCCAGUUACUUCGAUCAAAUUUAAAUUUUCUUGCAUCCAAGAUUUCAAGAAGCAGCUUGUGUUUGCAUUCUACAACUUCGCUAAAGUGAAAAGUUCAAAAUGGAUGGAUCUGGACUCUAGGCUCAAAAGACACUGUUUGCUUACUAAGCAGCUACCUCUAUCAGAAUGUACUUAUGAUAACGUUAAGGCGCUUCAAAAUGGAACCAGUCAGUUACUCGGUUCUUCUGGUUGCAGUGAUUCCUCAAGAAUUAAGGGGCCAAUAAGGAGGUCUAGGCAGUGUAUAAGCCUUGUUGGUGUCUCCAGAGAAUCCAAUUAUGUAAAUGCCAGUCCAUAUUCUAAUUCUGACAAGUCUCUCAGAUGGUUCCCUCCAUUUGCGCUUUCUUUUACUGCUGCACCUACUUUCUUUCUCGGUUUGCAUCUUAAGCUGCUUAUGGAGCAUAGUGUGACUCACAUCAGCUUUCAGGAUCAUGUCUCAAUAGAGCAUCCUAAAAACUCUGGUAGUUUGCAGGCAGAUGACUGUUCUAGCGUAGAGGACUACUCCAACAAAUGUUCAGAAGGCAUUCCUGAUAACAAUUGCAAGGCUUCUUCCAGGGAUGCUGAUUGUGGUGGAUGUCUUUCUUGUUCUAAAACUGUGCCACAAGCAGUUGACAUUUCUGUUGCCAGUGUUGGAGAUUGGAUGAAGUCCUCUCUAAAGUAUCAUAAUGAUUAUGUAAAUGUUGAAACUUCUGCCAUCUCCAAGGAUCCUGGAAAAUUGGGAACUGAUGCUGUUGCCUCACUGCAAAAGUGUCAAUUGCACCUUACAGAUUCAGAACAACGUGACUUGUCACAAAAGCUUUUAGUUGACCGAGAUAAGUCUGGUGCAUGUUCUCAUUCUCUUCUGAAUGGUAUUGCUGUUGAAGUUCCAUCAUUCAGUCAAUUUGAUGAGCAUGUUGAUAAGGAAUUACAUGGUGCUCAACAAUCUACAGAUUUGUCUUGGAAUAUGAAUGGUGGUGUUAUCCCCAGUCCAAACCCUACCGCCCGCAGAAGUACCUGGUACCGAAAUAGAAGUAGUUCUACAUCGUUUGGACACCCUGCGCAUGGAUGGUCAGAUGGAAGGGGUGACUUUCUCCAGAACAAUUUUGGUUAUGGAACUAAGAAGCCACGUACACAGGUCUCUUAUGCUUUGCCUUUUGGAGGUUUUGACUACAGCUCAAAGAAUAAAAGCCAUUCACAGAAAGUGCUUCCGCAUAAACGAAUUAGGACAGUAAAUGAGAAGAGGCCAUCAGAUGUUUCUAGAUGUUCUGAAAGAAACUUAGAGUUGUUUUCUUGUGAAGCAAAUGUCUUAAUUACACUUGGUGACAGAGGUUGGAGGGAAUGCGGGGCACAGGUUGUAUUAGAGCUUUUUGAUCAUAAUGAGUGGAGGCUUGCAGUAAAAAUUUUGGGGAUUAUAAAGUAUUCGUACAAGGCACAUCAAUUUCUGCAGCCUGGGUCGACAAACCGGUUUACACAUGCUAUGAUGUGGAAAGGAGGAAAGGAUUGGAUAUUGGAAUUUCCUGAUAGGAGUCAGUGGGCUCGUUUCAAAGAGAUGCAUGAAGAGUGCUAUAAUCGGAACAUCCGUGCUGCCUCUGUUAGAAACAUUCCUAUUCCUGGGGUUCGCUUGAUAGAGGAAAAUGACGACAAUGGAAUUGAAGUUCCAUUUGUUCGAAGUUCAUCUAAGUACUUUCGGCAGAUUGAAACUGAUAUUGAGAUGGCUUUGGAUCCAUUGAGGGUGCUAUAUGACAUGGAUAGUGAUGAUGAGCAGUGGGUGUUGAAAAAUCGAACUUCUUCAGAAGCUGCCAACAGUAGUUCAUGGGAGAUAUCUGACGAAAUGUUCGAGAAGACUAUGGACAUGUUUGAGAAGGCUGCAUAUUCUCAACAAUGUAACCAAUUUACAUCUGAUGAAAUAGAAGACCUCAUGGCUGGACUGGGCCCAAUGAAAGCAAUCAAAAUUAUCCAUGAGUAUUGGCAGCAAAAGAGGCAGAGGAAGGGAAUGCCUUUAAUCCGUCAUCUCCAGCCACCUCUAUGGGAGAGGUAUCAGCAACAGUUGAGGGAGUGGGAGCUAGCAAAAAGUACUACCCUUUCUAAUGGAUGUCAUGAGAAGGUGGCACAUGUUGAAAAGCCUCCCAUGUUUGCUUUCUGCUUGAAACCACGGGGGUUGGAAGUGCCCAACAAGGGAUCUAAACAUAGGUCACAGAGAAAAAUUUCAGUUACCGGCCAAAGCAAUUUCUUCUCAGAUCAUGAUGGUUUCCAUGCUUAUGGAAGAAGAUUAAAUGGAUUUGCUUCUGGGGAUGAAAAGGCUGUAUAUCAAGGUCAUAACUAUGAACCUUUAGAUGAUUCUCCAUUGCCUCAGAUAUCACCAAGGGUAUUUUCACCUCGGUAUGCAAGUGGCAACGGAUAUUUUUCAAUGAACAGUGAUAGGUAUGAGAGGAAUCAUGUGCAGAAGCUUUACAGGAGCAAGUCAAAGAAACCUGGGGCAUUUAUGUUUCCUAAUGAUACUCAGAUGGUUGCUUCAUAUAAUCAAAGAAUGUUUGACAAGAGAAAUGGAUUUCAUCAGUGGAAUAUAGGCUUUUCUGAUUGGCCAAGCAGGCGGUAUUACCACAUAGAUGGGCCCCUAUGCCAUGGCCCUGAACAUUUUGAUAGUUCAGAUGUCGAUGAGUUCAGGUUGCGUGAUGCUUCUGGUGCGGCACAGCAUGCACUUAAUAUGGCUAAACUCAAGAGAGAAAAGGCUCAGAGAUUGCUUUAUAGGGCUGAUCUAGCCAUUCACAAGGCUGUGGUUGCCCUCAUAACUGCUGAGGCGAUCCAAGCUUCUUCUGAGGACUUAAAUGGUGAUGGAUAGAAUAAGAAAAGAAAGAUGAGAUGAAAGGGUAGGAAAUGUGCCAGCCCUUCAGCAUUGGGUUUAUGCAGCCAAAUAACCCAGUUAUAGAAUUAUGAUUUUUUUGGCUGGAGCAGUGUGGUGUUUCCUUACUCAGCGGUGGGGGCCUUUUUGUCCUUUGCCAUUGAUUCAAGAGGGCAAAAACAGGAGGGUUAUGGCAGGUGGAGGGGAGAACUUUUUUUUCUUCUGCCACUUUUUGUCAUUGUCAUGGCAGUUUUGAUGUGACCACAGUUUUUCUGCCCACUAGGUAUUUUCAUGGCAGCAGCAGGUCCGCUGACCCUGCAGAUUCAUUGGAGGCUAAGAAUAUGUUAUCUUCUUCUCGUUUCAUAUUCUUGGUGAUAUUUAGUAGCCUCAGGCGGUAGAUGGAUUUGGAGAAAUUUGUGAGCUUUGACUUUCUGGUCUGUAUUUUUUUUUUUUUUGGUUCUUGUCAAUAUUUUGUUGUCUUAAGCAGUUGAUAGAUCUAAAGAAGAUGGUGGGCGUUACUUUUUGAUCUUUCCCUUCUUAUGAAAUGCUUCAUCUUUUGUUGCAGCUUGGUUGCAUGGAAAACAUAAGUAACCAGGUCAAAGAUUAUCCAUCGUGGAUAUGACUUUAAAACUUCACAGGUCAAGCUGUAUUAUGUAUUUUUUCAUUGCAUGUCUUGUAAAUGAUUUUUCUGCUGUAUAUGGGUUGGCACCCUCUUAGUGCCUUUCUAAUUAUAUCUCUUCUUUUGCUUAUAUAUAUAAAAAAAAAAAAGGCCCUAAUUGACAUUUAAUAUAAGGUGUAAGCGUUGCAUGUGUGUGUGUGGUAGAUUUUAUUGUCGUGUUGAUUGGUGGGUAGUUGGUGGGUUGGUGUCUACUUGUGUAUGGUAACAUGAAAAUUGUUUUGCAGCGCUAUUGGAGUUGCAGUUUUUGUCAGAUCAAUCAGUAAUUUUCUUCUUGGGAGUGGCAAUUUAACUUGUUUGCAGUGUAAUUGAAUAAUCUCUCUUUGGUACCGAUCGCCGGGUCAAGAUUACAAAACUGCAGCUCCAAUAGCCCUGUAAGCAAAUAGAGUUUAUCUUCAAAAUUUGAUCGAGGUGGUCUCUCUUUGCUUUCUUUGUAAUGUAAUUUGAUCGCGGGUGAUAUACUACUUUUUUUUAUACGGGUAACUUGAUAAUUACUUCUUGUUUAACCUUGUUAAACAUCCUAUAAGAUUUAUAAGCCUACAUGGUGUUCAGAAGAAAUCAUGAAUUGGAUCGAUAAA
rnacentral:misc_RNA from 1 species